UACGUAGGGGGCAAGCGUUGUCCGGAAUCAUUGGGCGUAAAGCGCGUGUAGGCGGCCAGAAAAGUCCGCUGUGAAAACUCGAGGCUCAACUUCGAGCUGUCGGUGGAAACUUUCUGGCUAGAGUCCGGAAGAGGAGAAUGGAAUUCCUGGUGUAGCGGUGAAAUGCGCGAGAUAUCAGGAAGGAACACCCCGUGGCGAAGGCGGCAUCCCUGGACCAACACUGACGCUGAGGAGCGAAAGCCAGGGGAGCAAACGGG
rnacentral:rRNA from 1 species